AGGAACUUUUGGAAACACAAGGCACAAAGGAAAAAAUACCUUCAUAUUUCUCCUUUUCCCAUCUCCCCAGAGACUUUUUUCUCCUUAUUUGUUGGCAUAUGUCUUUCCAUACUCUUCAAUGCAUAUAUAUUCACAGGAUAACAUUAUAUGUGGUAUUUUAGAACCACAUUUCUAACAUUCCAUUUAUCAUGUUUUGUAUUUGCAUAGUAUUCCAUUUCGUAGUUGUACCAUAAUAUCUUUAGACAAUGCUUGUGGUCAAAUAAUUUCCCCCAAUAUUUUACUGUUACAAAAAAUGUUUCGAUGAACAUUUUGGUCUAAAGUUGAUGGAUCAAGGAAUAUAGGGGUCAUUAUAAGUUAACAAAUACAGCGUCAGAUCAUGGUACUACUCUGCUGAAAAUCCCCCUUGGCUCCCAUCUUACUCAGAGCCAAAGCUAAGGUCUUUACCAUGACCUAAAAUACCCUCAGCCAUCCGGAGUGUGCAUGUAUGCAUACACACAGACAUGUACAUGCCACUCACUCCUGCCUCUCUAGCUCAUCUUCUCCUGCUCACCCCUGACUUGUUCCCCUGAAGCUAUUCCUGGAAUACACCAGGCAAGCAAGCCCCUGUGUCAGGGCCUUGGCACUUCUUCCUUCUGCCUAUAACAAUUCCUCCAAGUAUCCACAGGCUUCCUCUUUCACUUCCUUUGUUGCGUUGGCUCAGAUAUCGCCUUAUCUGAGUGCCCUUCCUUAACUAUACAAUACAAAAUAAGUUCAUGAAUCUGCCCUCACCCCUACAUUCCCUGUUUCCUUUACCUUGUUCUAUUUUUCUAUAACAUUUACCUGACAAAUCUUAUGUUUGUUUAUUGUCACUCUUCUUCCAGAAUGUAAGCACUGUGAAGUCAAGGACUUUGUUAGUUUUGAUCACUAUUGUAUCCAUGGGUUCUAAAGCACUGCCUGGCACAUAGUUGGCACUCAGUAAGCUAAGAAAUAAUAAGACUAACAUAUUGGGAUUGUGGCAAGGAGGUAAGUAUACUCCACUUUUUCAAGGGGAUUAUAAAGGGCAUCAUUUUUAGGUGGGAGAUAUUGGACAUAGGAGUUUGUGAACCAAGAGACAGAGAAAGAUGUUACUUGGAGAUAUGGAGGUUAUAAGUAUCAGAAGAUUAGAAGUUCCGGGGAUGUUUUAAAGUAAAAUUUUUCCCAUUGCAAAAUAAUAGAUAUCUGUUGUAGGAACGUUUAGAAAUACAACUAAAGCACUUUUUGCUUUACUUGGAGUGGGUGGGACUGGAAUUGGGAGGAGGGGCCAUGGAGAGGCUGCUUUUUUUCAUUGUGCAUCUUUCUGUAAGACGUGAAUUUAUACCAUGUACACCAAUUACUUAAAUAAUAAGAGCAUGUUUGGACUUCCAGUUUCUGGUGAUGGCUGGUUAUGAAAACUUGAAGAAACAAAAUAAUGGCUUUUUUUAAGUGAAGAACUAAAAAAACAUUGAACUUCCAGGCCAGUUUUUGGAUAAAAGUCUAUAACCAGGGAGGGAAAUGGAAUACUGGAACAAAAAGCUGCCUGUGCUGAGACAGCAGUUGCUGAUACCACAAACACUUGUCUGCUGUUUCUGUGGCCUGGCUGAGCCAAGAAAACAUGUUAAAGCACAGAGCCCACGCAAGACAGUGUGCUUGCAGGAGACCCUACCAACAGGAAUCGGAUAACAAGGAGCUAAAGUAUUGGCUGGAGUUGGCGAUGACUCAGCAGAUCAAGGCUGGAAGACUCAUUCUCGUCAGGUGGUUGACGUUGGCUGUCAGUUGGAACCUCACCUGGGGCUGUUUGCCAGAACACCUACACAUGGCAUGUCCAUGGAGCUAUUUGACUUCCUCACUGCAAUGGCUGGGUUCCAAGAGCAGUUAUCCCAAGAGAACAAGGCAGAAGUGCAUGACUUUUAGAAUCUUGUCUCACAAGUCACACAGAGUCACUUCCACCAUCCCCUGUUGGUCAAGGAGGACAUGAAGGUCUUCCUAGGAGCACGGGGAGAAGACAGACUUCUACCACCUGUUGGAAGGAGUGUCAGUGUUACAUAGCAAGAGAAGCACAUGGAAUGGGAUGUAUUGUGAUGCCCAUCUUUGGAACAGACAAUUUGGCAUAUCUGUGAAAAUUAAAAGUCUGAUUUGGAUAUAACAAAUGAGACUGAUUAGCAAAGAUGUCUAAUUAUAAAAGUUAAAGUUAAAUUCCAAAUAUACUUUUUUUUUUUGCCAAAGACCAAAGACUAGGUUAUAGCCAAGGAAUUCUGGCUCCCUAUAUCCCUAGGCUUUUUUUAUUUUUAUUUUUAUUUCUUUUCUGAGAUGGAGUCUCGCUGUGUCACCCAGGUGCAGUGGCACUGUCUCGGCUCACUGCAACCUUCACCUCCUAGGUUCAUGCGAUUCUCCUGUCUCAGCCUCCUGAGUAGCUGGGAUUACAAGCGCACACCACCACACCUGGCUAAUUUUUUGUAUUUUUAGUAGAGAUGGGGUUUCACUAUGUUGCCCAGACUGGUCUUGAACUUCUGACCUCAUGAUCUGCCUGCCUUGGCCUCCCAAAGUGCUGGGAUUACAGGCGUGAGACACCGUACCCAGCCCCUAGGCUUUAUUUCUAAGGUUAUCAAUACCUUCUUCCCCUUGAUCCUUAUUUUUUAUGUGAUCAACAUAAUACAUGAGAUCAACCAGUUCAAG
rnacentral:lncRNA from 10 species